rnacentral:rRNA from 1 species
AUACGGAGGAUGCAAGCGUUAUCCGGAUUUAUUGGGUUUAAAGGGUGCGUAGGCGGAUGAUUAAGCGUGAGGUGAAAUGCCACUGCUCAACAGUGGAACUGCCUCGCGAACUGGUUGUCUUGAAUGCUCCUGCCGUGGGAGGAAUGUGUGGUGUAGCGGUGAAAUGCAUAGAGAUCACACAGAACACCGAUUGCGAAGGCAUCUCACGAAGGGGUGAUUGACGCUGAGGCACGAAAGCGUGGGGAUCAAACAGGAUUAGAUACCCUGGUAGUCCACGCAGUAAACGAUGAUAACUAACCGCUGGGUCGUAGUGAUUCAGUGGCUAAGCGAAAGCGAUAAGUUAUCCACCUGGGGAGUACGACCGCAAGGUUGAAACUCAAAGGAAUUGACGGGG